rnacentral:rRNA from 1 species
AGAGUUUGAUCCUGGCUCAGGAUGAACGCUGGCGGCGUGCUUAACACAUGCAAGUCGAACGGUGAAGCUCCAGCUUGCUGGAGUGGAUCAGUGGCGAACGGGUGAGUAACACGUGAGCAACCUGCCCCGGACUCUGGGAUAACAGUUGGAAACAGCUGCUAAUACCGGAUACGCACCAUACAGGCAUCUGUUGUGGUGGGAAAGAUUUUUUGGUUCGGGAUGGGCUCGCGGCCUAUCAGCUUGUUGGUGAGGUAAUGGCUCACCAAGGCGUCGACGGGUAGCCGGCCUGAGAGGGUGACCGGCCACACUGGGACUGAGACACGGCCCAGACUCCUACGGGAGGCAGCAGUGGGGAAUAUUGCACAAUGGGCGGAAGCCUGAUGCAGCAACGCCGCGUGAGGGAUGACGGCCUUCGGGUUGUAAACCUCUUUUAGCAGGGAAGAAGCGAGAGUAACGGUACCUGCAGAAAAAGCGCCGGCUAACUACGUGCCAGCAGCCGCGGUAAUACGUAGGGCGCAAGCGUUAUCCGGAAUUAUUGGGCGUAAAGAGCUCGUAGGCGGUCUGUCGCGUCUGCUGUGAAAACCCGAGGCUCAACCUCGGGCCUGCAGUGGGUACGGGCAGACUAGAGUGCGGUAGGGGAGAUUGGAAUUCCUGGUGUAGCGGUGGAAUGCGCAGAUAUCAGGAGGAACACCGAUGGCGAAGGCAGAUCUCUGGGCCGUAACUGACGCUGAGGAGCGAAAGGGUGGGGAGCAAACAGGCUUAGAUACCCUGGUAGUCCACCCCGUAAACGUUGGGAACUAGUUGUGGGGACCUUUCCACG